CCUACGGGUGGCAGCAGUGGGGAAUAUUGGUCAAUGGGCGCGAGCCUGAACCAGCCAAGGAGCGUGAGAGAUGAAUGGUCUACGGAUUGUAAACUUCUUUUGUAAGAGAAUAAAAUGAGGGUAGCGUACCAAUAUGUAUGUACUUUAUGAAUAAGGAUCGGCUAAGUAAGUGCCAGCAGCCGAGGUAAUACGGAGGAUACUAGCGUUAAGCGGAGUUAUUGGGCGUAAGGGGGGCGUAGGUGGGUUGUUAAGGCAGAUGUGAAAGCCUGCGGCUUAACCGUAAAACUGCAAUUGAUACUGGUAUCCUUGAGUACAGGAGAGGUAGGCGGAAUUCGUGGUGUAGGGGUGAAAUGCUUAGAUAUCACGAAGAAUUCUGAUUGCGAAGGCAGCCUACUAGAACGUAACUGACGCUGAUGCGCGAAAGUGUGGGUAUCAAACAGGAUUAGAUACCCUGGUAGUC
rnacentral:rRNA from 1 species